CAGGAGAUAAACAAAAAACAAAAAAAAACAUCAUUUUUAGUGCUCAUUUUUAAUGAAGAAGAGGGCACUGUAGCAAGGGAUUUUCCUCAAGGAGGAAGCAUUGGUAGCAGCAACUGUUACAAUUGUAAUGAAGCUGACCACACCUCGAAAGGCUGCCUGAAUCUCUUCAGUGAAUUGACGGAAGAUGGAAAGCCACAUGAGCAAUGCAUUCCAGAAGCUGUGACAUGAGAUGAAAAGGAACUGUUUAAGGGCAUCGUCUGUGUGGGAACGCUUUAUCAAUUUUGAUAAAGUCGUCCUCCAUGCUACAGAAAAAGAUGUACCUCAAUACAGAAUAUCAUUCGAAGAAGCCAGCCUGCGCCAACUACUACUUCAAAACAUUAAGAAUUCUGACUACAUAAAACCAACACCUGUUCAGAAAAGCUUCAGUUGUAGUUUGCCAAAAGAGGUUUAAUUGCUUGUGCUGUCACGGGCUCUGGCAAAACGGCAGUACAAUUAAUUAACACUGUGUAAUUUGAAAUCUUGAUGCCCUCGUACUGACUUGAUUCGAAUGGGUCGAUAUGAACUGGGCGGCGUACUUGGUACCAGUUAUGAACAUAUUGUUAGAACAAGGCGUUGCUGGUGCGUCUCAUGCCAUGGGGCAAAAGCCAGAAGUUGUAAUUGUCGCACCUACUCGUGAAUUGGCCAUUCAAAUUCACCGCGAGGCGUGUAAAUUCUCCUACAGCUCGGUUUUAAAGUCUGUGAUUAUAUAUGGAGGAACUCUCACGAGCCAUCAGCGGUCAAAUCUUCAAGCUGGGUGCAAUAUUUUUGUCGCGACCGCGGGACGAUUCAAGGAUUUUCUCGACCGUGAAGUAUUUGACUUCUCGGGAGUCAGGUUUUGAAUUUUGGACGAAGCUGAUCGAAUGCUUGAUAUGGGUUUCGGUCCCAAUGUUAAAAAGAUUGUCAAUCAUCCAACGAUGCAUCCGAAAGGAAUCCGUCGUGUUUGUAUGUUUUCGGCUACGUUCCCAGAUGACGUACAAGCGCUGGCUGCGACGUACAUGGAAGACUACGUAUUCGUCACAACAGGCAUUGUCGGUGGCACCAAUCCGGAUGUUGAACAGCUGUUUUUUCAGUGCUCGAAAAGAGAUAAGAGAGCUAAGCUGAUCGAAGUUUUACAAGAUCUCGGUGAUGCCAAGACUAUCGUUUUUGUCGACAGCAAAAAAGACGGCGGAUUUCGUCGCUGCAUUCUCGUGCAAUAACAACUUACAACAUCCAUGGUGAGCGUAAACGAAAAUCGUAAAUGUCUCUUCCGAAGCUUCUGUCAGAAGAAUAUGCUAGCAAUCAACUCACGAAUCAUGUAAGAUGAACAAUAAAAGCCGAUGUCGAGGUGACGAAGAAAACAACACGUCGAGGUGCCGUCAAACGUGCCUCCGUUCCGGAGAAGGAAGCGCCGGAAGGCAAAAGGCGUCGUGGUGAAACGAAAGCCAAUAAAUACGUUGCUGGAUUGGAUGAUGUAGAAAUGUUACACGAAGGCAAAGGACAUGCUGCCGACAUCCACGCCAAUCACGUGCCAGAUGAGCCGGAGGCGAACAAUGGAUCGCCAGUCACAUCCGUCAAAAGUGGACGAUCUACUCGCGCAAAGGGCGCACUCAAAGUUCAUUUUGACGUGGCCGAAACGGCGCAUUCGCCAGCCAGAUCCACCCGUUCGGCGCGGAAGACGGCUUCACCGGCCGAGAAGAAAGUCUCUGUCCAGCUGGAACGCGACCCCGACAUUGAGACUUUGGCCGCUACAGCCAAAGAAGAGGAAGAGAAAGCACCGGCCGCCAAACGUUCAC